GCGGACGGGUGAGUAACACGUGGGUAACCUACCUAUAAGACUGGGAUAACUCCGGGAAACCGGGGCUAAUACCGGAUAAUAUUUUGAACCGCAUGGUUCAAUAGUGAAAGACGGUUUCGGCUGUCACUUAUAGAUGGACCCGCGCCGUAUUAGCUAGUUGGUAAGGUAACGGCUUACCAAGGCGACGAUACGUAACCGACCUGAUAGGGUGAUCGGCCACACUGGAACUGAGACACGGUCCAUACUCCUACGGGAGGCAGCAGUAGGGAAUCUUCCGCAAUGGGCGAAAGCCUGACGGAGCAACGCCGCGUGAGUGAUGAAGGUCUUCGGAUCGUAAAACUCUGUUGUUAGGGAAGAACAAAUUUGUUAGUAACUGAACAAGUCUUGACGGUACCUAACCAGAAAGCCACGGCUAACUACGUGCCAGCAGCCGCGGUAAUACGUAGGUGGCAAGCGUUAUCCGGAAUUAUUGGGCGUAAAGCGCGCGUAGGCGGUUUCUUAAGUCUGAUGUGAAAGCCCACGGCUCAACCGUGGAGGGUCAUUGGAAACUGGGAAACUUGAGUGCAGAAGAGGAGAGUGGAAUUCCAUGUGUAGCGGUGAAAUGCGCAGAGAUAUGGAGGAACACCAGUGGCGAAGGCGGCUCUCUGGUCUGUACCUGACGCUGAUGUGCGAAAGCGUGGGGAUCAAACAGGAUUAGAUACCCUGGUAGUCCACGCCGUAAACGAUGAGUGCUAAGUGUUAGGGGGUUUCCGCCCCUUAGUGCUGCAGCUAACGCAUUAAGCACUCCGCCUGGGGAGUACGACCGCAAGGUUGAAACUCAAAGGAUUUGACGGGGACCCGCACAAGCGGUGGAGCAUGUGGUUUAAUUCGAAGCAACGCGAAGAACCU
rnacentral:rRNA from 2 species